rnacentral:rRNA from 1 species
AUUGAACGCUGGCGGCAGGCUUAACACAUGCAAGUCGAGCGGGGAAAGGUAGCUUGCUAUUUAACCUAGCGGCGGACGGGUGAGUAAUGCUUAGGAAUCUGCCUAUUAGUGGGGGACAACAUCUCGAAGGGGAUGCUAAUACCGCAUACGUCCUACGGGAGAAAGCAGGGGACCUUCGGGCCUUGCGCUAAUAGAUGAGCCUAAGUCGGAUUAGCUAGUUGGUGGGGUAAAGGCCUACCAAGGCGACGAUCUGUAGCGGGUCUGAGAGGAUGAUCCGGCACACUGGGACUGAGACACGGCCCAGACUCCUACGGGAGGCAGCAGUUGGGAAUAUUGGGCAAUGGGGGGAACCCUGAUCCAGCCAUGCCGCGUGUGUGAAGAAGGCCUUUUGGUUGUAAAGCACUUUAAGCGAGGAGGAGGCUACCGAGAUUAAUACUCUUGGAUAGUGGACGUUACUCGCAGAAUAAGCACCGGCUAACUCUGUGCCAGCCGCCGCGGUAAGAC